rnacentral:rRNA from 1 species
UACGGAGGGUGCGAGCGUUGUCCGGAAUCACUGGGCGUAAAGGGCGCGUAGGCGGCAUGCCAAGCGUGUGGUGAAAGCCCGGGGCUCAACCCCGGGUCGGCCGUGCGGACUGGCGUGCUCGAGCACUGUAGGGGCGGGUGGAAUUCCGGGUCUAGCGGUGGAAUGCGUAGAGAUCCGGAAGAACACCGGUGGCGAAGGCGGCUCUCUGGGCCUUACCUGACGCUGAGGAGCGAAAGCGUGGGUAGCGAACAGG